GUCUUUUUGAAUUCUAUACAAAGUCUGACCUGCCCACUGAAAUUUGAAUGGCCGCAGUACACUAACUGUGCAAAGGUAGCAUAAUAAUUAGUCUUUUAAUUGAAGGCUUGUAUGAACGGUUGGACGAGGUAUUAACUGUUUCAUUUAAAUUUAAACUAGAAUUUUAUUUUUUAGUCAAAAAGCUAAAAUUUUUUUAAAAGACGAGAAGACCCUAUAAAGCUUUAUAUUUAUUUAAUUUUGUUUUAUUAGAUAAGUCUUUAUAAAAUUAAUUUAAAUAUUUUAUUGGGGUGAUAUUAAAAUUUUUUAAACUUUUAAUUUAUUAAAUCAUUAAUUUAUGAUAAAAUGAUCCGAUAUUUUCGAUUAAAAAUUUAAGUUACUUUAGGGAUAACAGCGUAAUUUUUUUGGAGAGUUCAUAUCGAUAAAAAAGAUUGCGACCUCGAUGUUGGAUUAAGGAAUAAGUUUAGGCGCAGCAGUUUAAAUAAUAAGUCUGUUCGACUUUUAAACCCUU
rnacentral:rRNA from 1 species